rnacentral:rRNA from 1 species
UAGGGAAUCUUCGGCAAUGGGGGGAACCCUGACCGAGCAACGCCGCGUGAGUGAAGAAGGUUUUCGGAUCGUAAAGCUCUGUUGUUAAGGAGGAACGAGUGUGAGAAUGGAAAGUUCAUACUGUGACGGUACUUAACCAGAAAGGGACGGCUAACUACGUGCCAGCAGCCGCGGUAAUACGUAGGUCCCGAGCGUUGUCCGGAUUUAUUGGGCGUAAAGCGAGCGCAGGCGGUUAGAUAAGUCUGAAGUUAAAGGCAGUGGCUCAACCAUUGUAGGCUUUGGAAACUGUUUAACUUGAGUGCAGAAGGGGAGAGUGGAAUUCCAUGUGUAGCGGUGAAAUGCGUAGAUAUAUGGAGGAACACCGGUGGCGAAAGCGGCUCUCUGGUCUGUAACUGACGCUGAGGCUCGAAAGCGUGGGGAGCGAACAGG